rnacentral:lncRNA from 1 species
CAAAAAGAAGCGUCAUGGAUUGGACAGAAUGUUUACUGAAUACAUAGUUUUACUGAAGGGCUGAAUUUAUCACAGUUGGCGUCUGGUAGCCCAGUUGCCAUUUGGAGAAAACAUAUGAUGGUUGCCCUUCAAUGUUUUUAUCUUGGACAUUAAUGAGAAAUUGUCGAUGAAUGCAAAUUCGUUGGCCGGUUGAUACAUAGUUGAACUGUCCUAAUAAAUCCAUGACAAAAAAUUGCCAAAAUUCAAA